CAUGGAGGGUGAGAAUCCCGUCCGGUUGAUCAUUUGCGUUUUACGAUACGCUUUCUAAGAGUCAAGUUGUUUGGGAUUGCAGCUUAAAAUGGGAGGUAAAUUUCUCCUAAGGCUAAAUAACGGCGAGAGACCGAUAGCGAACAAGUACCGUGAGGGAAAGAUGAAAAGAACUUUGAAAAGAGAGUUAAACAGUACGUGAAAUUGUUGAAAGGGAAACGAUUGAAGCCAGUCGUACCUUCGGGUGAUCAGCCUUUCGGGUGCGAUUAUGUGGAGUGUGAGGAGCUUAAACACCUUCAUGUUUUGCAUAUUCGUACUCUUGGGUGUACUUGCCCGUGUGGUUGGUUAACAUCAAUUUUGGUGGUCAUAAAAUGACUGGAGGAAUGUAGCUUCGAUCUCGUAUUGAAGUGUUAUAGCCUUCGGUAGAUGUGAUGAUCGAGAUUGAGGAUUGCAACGGAUACCCUUCGGGGCUACCUGUCUGGUCUCUGAUCGUUGCUCUGGUGCCGAAAGCUUGCUUACGGUUAUCAAAGUCGAUGGUCAAUAGGUUAGAACGGGUUAAAUUCGUUAAGGAUGUUGACGUAAUGG
rnacentral:rRNA from 1 species